AUUGAACGCUGGCGGCAGGCUUAACACAUGCAAGUCGAGCGGAGUUGUGGUGCUUGCACCAUAACUUAGCGGCGGACGGGUGAGUAAUGCUUAGGAAUCUGCCUAUUAGUGGGGGACAACAUCUCGAAAGGGAUGCUAAUACCGCAUACGUCCUACGGGAGAAAGCAGGGGACCUUUGGGCCUUGCGCUAAUAGAUGAGCCUAAGUCGGAUUAGCUAGUUGGUGGGGUAAAGGCCUACCAAGGCGACGAUCUGUAGCGGGUCUGAGAGGAUGAUCCGCCACACUGGGACUGAGACCCGGCCCAGACUCCUACGGGAGGCAGCAGUGGGGAAUAUUGGACAAUGGGGGGAACCCUGAUCCAGCCAUGCCGCGUGUGUGAAGAAGGCCUUAUGGUUGUAAAGCACUUUAAGCGAGGAGGAGGCUACUGAGACUAAUACUCUUGGAUAGUGGACGUUACUCGCAGAAUAAGCACCGGCUAACUCUGUGCCAGCCGCCGCCGUAACAC
rnacentral:rRNA from 1 species